CCACUACAACAACCAUCAUACACCACCAUAACCAUCAUACAUACACCUGAUGAGGAGAUUCAACUUGGUAGAGCUCCGGCUCAAAUGGUGUGAACUGUAUUUUGUUAUACGUUAUGCAUAUUCAAAUAAUUAAUAAUCUCCAGAUAUGAAAUUACCCCCAAUUUGAAUUGAAGUUGAGCCCUAACCCUACAUCCCCAUCCCCAUUCAAUUCAAUUCAAUUCAAUAUGGAGGUUUAGUAACUGAAUCAGCUAGAAAAAGAUAUGAUGGAGGCAGAAACAGGGGCAUGGUUGAUUAUUGUGUUGGAACGAUCGUGUGGGUUCAGAUGCGUAACGGGUCGUGGUGGCCGGGUAAGAUACUGGGCUCUGACGAGCGCUCUGCUUCGCAUCUCAUAUCUCCCAAAUCUGGAACCCCUGUCAAACUUCUUGGCAGGGAAGAUGCCAGUGUAGACUGGUACAAUCUGGAGAAGUCGAAGCGAGUUAAACCCUUCCGCUGUGGUGAGGAUGAUGGUGGUGGCAGUGGUGAGGAUGAUGGUGGGGAUGGUGGCUGUGGGUGGUGUUUAUAUAUAUAUUAUAUAUUAAAAGUUCAUGCAUUAAACACUUGUUUCUUGUACUUAUGUGCAUAUAAGACUUGUACUUUGUGUGUAAAUGGCCAAAUUAUCCUCAUAGUUAACAGACUUGAUGGAUGGAGUUAGAAAUU